CGGACAGACCCAGAGACCGGCCUGUUUAGAAGGCGCGUGCAGCACAAGCGCGCAGAAGCGCGAGUAGGGAACCGGGUUGCAGGCGGGGGGGGGCCCGCUUGUCAGCCCACUUGUGGAGAACCCGGAAUAGGGGCUACGUGGCCCUCCUCAGUGCCGUUGGAUUUCCAACGGCUAGUUUUCUAGACCGUUGGAUUUCCAACGGUAAAAAAAAUUUAAAUU
rnacentral:lncRNA from 1 species